AUUUGUAACCGCGCGCAAUGCGGUUGAUAGAGUCAGUGUUUGUUGUGCAAUAAUUUAUUUCAAUAUUUUCAAAUCGUGAUAGCUUUGAUUAAAUUCAAUUAAACAAUCGCAUGUGAAGUCACACAGUAAGAUAUUAUUAAGUAAAUUCGCAACACGUUCGCGUUAACGCAGUCUUUUAUUUUUUUCUUUUUUAUAUAUGUUUUUUUAAAUAUAUGUUUUCGUUAUUAGAGUCAGUGCAUCCUUCAAGAGGAUAAAGCCUCUCCAAAAGCUCAAGAAUAUAUCUCAAAGCCUCAACUUCUUCCUGUUCCUUGAGGAAGGUCUGACGAUGGCUCAGUAGCCAAAAAUAUUUUUUACAACUCUCAUUUCCUUCUAUUCUUUAAGGAGGAUCUCACUGUGCUACAAAAGCUAAGAAUAUUGUUCGCAGCCUCUAUUUUUGCCAUGUGUUUGACGCUAGACUAGAUUGCUUGAUGAUAGACUUGACUUCCGCUGACCCAGUGCAACGUUCUCCCCGUUUAAUGGUGAGUCGCAUGCACUUUUGUUCCUCCAGUCACUCAAUCAUGUCGUAGAAUGAAUGGUCCGAAUCGACACGGGUGACUAGUUGUAUUACGUAGAAUUUUUUGCGAGCAUAGUGACCGCGGAUAUUUAUUAUAUCCGCGAGUAGUAACAUUUUCUUGUCUAUAUCUAUUUAUUAGUUUAGGAUAGGUUUUCUUGCACGUCGCGUUUUUGAAUUUUGAUAACAAUACAUUGUGAAUAACAAAGAACUAGUAUGGAUAACGUAAUGUUGACAAUUGAUAUAUGUAUCUGUGAUUGAAAAGAUUAAAUAUUUAUAUGAGCAUGUAUUUGUAUGAAGAAAUCGG